CCUCCUGGGUUUUCUUUGGCAG
rnacentral:miRNA from 1 species